rnacentral:lncRNA from 1 species
UAUUGGCACUGCAACUUUCACCCUUUGGCACUGCAACUUUCACCCUUCAAAAGACCCCUUGGAUCCGACUGUAAAAACUUAUCCUUAAUGCUAUGCUAGUCUCUACCACCACAACUAUCACUCCAUCAUCUCAGUUGCCAAAACAUCCCAAGAAGUUUAGAAGAAUUAAAACACCAUGUAUGUGAGUAAAUCACAAACUUAAGCAAUGCAACUAAAGGAGGAGCUUACCUAAUUCAGAGGGGCAAUCAAUCCAUGCCCUAUUACCUGCACGAGGUGAAAGCCCUUGCAGAUAAGAUUGCCU